rnacentral:rRNA from 1 species
GAUGAACGCUGGCGGCGUGCCUAAUACAUGCAAGUCGAGCGAACAGACGAGGAGCUUGCUCCUCUGACGUUAGCGGCGGACGGGUGAGUAACACGUGGAUAACCUACCUAUAAGACUGGGAUAACUUCGGGAAACCGGAGCUAAUACCGGAUAAUAUAUUGAACCUCAUGGUUCAAUAGUGAAAGACGGUUUUGCUGUCACUUAUAGAUGGAUCCGCGCCGCAUUAGCUAGUUGGUAAGGUAACGGCUUACCAAGGCGACGAUGCGUAGCCGACCUGAGAGGGUGAUCGGCCACACUGGAACUGAGACACGGUCCAGACUCCUACGGGAGGCAGCAGUAGGGAAUCUUCCGCAAUGGGCGAAAGCCUGACGGAGCAACGCCGCGUGAGUGAUGUAGGUCUUCGGAUCGUAAAACUCUGUUAUUAGGGAAGAACAAAUGUGUAAGUAACUAUGCACGUCUUGACGGUACCUAAUCAGAAAGCCACGGCUAACUACGUG